rnacentral:rRNA from 1 species
GAUGAACGCUAGCGGCAGGCCUAAUACAUGCAAGUCGAACGGUGUCUUCGGACAUAGUGGCGCACGGGUGCGUAACACGUAUGCAACCUACCUUACAUUGGGGGAUAGCCUUUCGAAAGGGAGAUUAAUACCGCAUAAGACAGUAGCUGGGUAUCCAGCAGCUGUUAAAGAUUUAUCGAUGUAAGCUGGGCAUGCGUCCAAUUAGCUAGUUGGUGAGGUAACGGCUCACCAAGGCAAUGAUUGGUAGGGGAACUGAGAGGUCAAUCCCCCACACUGGCACUGAGAUACGGGCCAGACUCCUACGGGAGGCAGCAGUGGGGAAUUUUGGACAAUGGGGGCAACCCUGAUCCAGCCAUUCCGCGUGAGUGAAGAAGGCCUUCGGGUUGUAAAGCUCUUUCGGCAGGAACGAAACGGCGAGCUCUAACAUAGCUUGCUAAUGACGGUACCUGAAGAAGAAGCACCGGCUAACUACGUGCCAGCAGCCGCCGUAACAC